AUAUAUACCAGGCAGGGGAGAUGAAGGUGGUUUUCCAAAAACAAGGCUUAUCCAUCGCACUCUCCAUGGGCUGACCCCUGCGCUUUCCCCAAAUGUGGGAAACGCGACCGCAUCCUGUGUGGUAGUGGGGGACUGAGUUCACAUUUUUUCCUG
rnacentral:snRNA from 1 species